UACGGAGGGUGCAAGCGUUAUCCGGAUUCACUGGGUUUAAAGGGUGCGUAGGUGGGUUGGUAAGUCAGUGGUGAAAUCUCUGAGCUUAACUCAGAACGGCCAAGUGAUACUGCUGUGCUAGAGUGCAGAAGGGGCAAUCGGAAUUCUUGGUGUAGCGGUGAAAUGCGUAGAUAUCAAGAGGAACACCUGAGGUGAAGACGGGUUGCUGGGCUGACACUGACGCUGAUGCGCGAAAGCCAGGGGAGCAAACGGG
rnacentral:rRNA from 1 species